rnacentral:pre_miRNA from 1 species
AAAAAGACAAACCCUAGGUUUCCGUGUCCAACGUUUGACUGUCCGUCUUAUUUGAAAAAAUUAUAAAAAAUUUAAAAAAGACAAGUCACGCAUAAAGUAUUAAUCAUGUUUUAUCAUCUAACAACAAUGAAAAUACUAAUUAUAAAAAAAUUUCAUAUAAGACGGACAGUCAAACGUUGGACACGGAAACCCAGGGUUUGUCUUUUU